UACGUAGGUGGCAAGCGUUUGUCCGGAAUUAUUGGGCGUAAAGCGCGCGCAGGCGGCCUUUUAAGUCUGAUGUGAAAGCCCACGGCUCAACCGUGGAAGGUCAUUGGAAACUGAAAGGCUUGAGUACAGAAGAGGAAAGCGGAAUUCCACGUGUAGCGGUGAAAUGCGUAGAGAUGUGGAGGAACACCAGUGGCGAAGGCGACUCACUGGCCCCGAUACUGACGCUGAGGCGCGAAAGCUAGGGGAGCAAACGGGG
rnacentral:rRNA from 1 species